GCUGUGAAAUACAAACUUUGUUGACAUAAAUUAACUUUACUACUAAAUAUCUUCUCUAUCCGAAGACUCUGCUAAUGUUUUUCUACACGUUAACCUCAAUUUUCUUAGUGUAAACAUUCUGCUGUAAUGGUUGAUGCCCAGGUGUAAAUAUUCUGCUGGAAUUGCUGAUCAUGCCUUUCAACCUAAAGCCUAGGGAGAGACAGAGACAGAAUUGCAAGUGGAUUGAAACCAAAAGAUUGAUUACUUUGUACGAGUAAAGAUGUCUAUUCAUGAAGGGCCAUUCCAUGGAUUGGAGAGGAAUGCACUGAAGAUAAAAGACAAACUGGUGGGUGGUGGUCAUUACUAGUCUUUUCUCCUUGAGGGCUCCUUUCCUAGUUCCAAACACGGCUCAGCUAAGAACAAGAAUAGGUCCUUUCAGGAGCAUCAGUGCAGAUCAUCAUAAUCUGCUACAAUAUGCAGAUGUCUAUUCAUGAAGGGCCAUUCCAUGGAUUGGAGAGGAAUGCACUGAAGAUAAAAGACAAACUGGUGGGUGGUGGUCAUUACUAGUCUUUUCUCCUUGAGGGCUCCUUUCCUAGUUCCAAACACGGCUCAGCUAAGAACAAGAAUAGGUCCUUUCAGGAGCAUCAGUGCAGAUCAUCAUAAUCUGCUACAAUAUGCAGAUGUCUAUUCAUGAAGGGCCAUUCCAUGGAUUGGAGAGGAAUGCACUGAAGAUAAAAGACAAACUGGUGGGUGGUGGUCAUUACUAGUCUUUUCUCCUUGAGGGCUCCUUUCCUAGUUCCAAACACGGCUCAGCUAAGAACAAGAAUAGGUAAUCAAUUUGAAGUCUUCCAAAUCUUGAACAUCUGUUGUUUCUUAUGUCUGCUGAGGAAUUUCCUAACACUGGCUGGAAAAUGUGGUAACCACCCUGAGAAGACGCGUAGGUAAGAACACCGGGGUAGACUGAGAAGGAGGAAACCAUUGUACCGCAUCAGCCAUGACAUGGAAACCAUUUAGGCCCCUGGUCCCCAUCAUGUCUAGUCCCCAUUUCGUUGCAGAAAAGUCUGGAAUUUAAGCCUAGCCAUUCAUUAUU